rnacentral:rRNA from 1 species
CCCUAUGGGGCCUGCCGGAUGUGUCUGGUCUCGAUCCCUUAUAAGGACGGAUCAAAAAAAAUUGUCACAUCCUGUGAUACAACCGUUGAAGAGGGGAUGGCUAUACUCACAGAUUCGGAUGAAGUAAUGGAUGCUCAGGCGGAUAUGGCUGAUUUUUUGCUUUCUCUUUGCCCAAACCUUCCCAGUAUUCAAAAGCUUGCUGCAACGUAUGGAAUCCAUGAAUCCACUUAUAUCUCAGAAAACAAAAAAGAAAACUGUAUUUUAUGCGGCCAAUGUGUUCAGGCCUGCCAUACAAAAGGGAA